rnacentral:lncRNA from 1 species
CCUUCAAGGCACCUGGAGAAACCUUGUCGUAGUUAGCCUCCCGCCCAUAUUGGAGGAAAACCGGGCAGUGAUUUCUUGUGUUUCCUCCAGUUGGCCUUUUGUAUGGCUUUAUCUUUAAAAUUUAUUUCUGCUUCUUCAGCCUGUUGCGGGGAUGAUGGUCCCGACACCUCAUCUGAGGGCGCCAUAGCCACUGAUGUGUCCCAGGGUAGUGGGGUGGUAGAGCAGUCUCCGAGUGUUGAGAUUGUCUCUGCUAGCAAAGCUAGUCCGCGACAGGCGCAUUUGUCUGGUGUAGCUAGGUGCAAGCUGAGGAGAGCCAGGAGGGAAGCUGCUGAUAUCGGUG